AGCUCCAAUAGCGUAUAUUAAAGUUGUUGCGGUUAAAAAGCUCGUAGUUGGAUUUCUGCUGAGGAUGACCGGUCCGACCUCUGGACAGGCAUGUGUUUCAAGCAAGCGCACGCCUUGAAUACAUUAGCAUGGAAUAAUAAGAUAGGACCUCGGUUCUAUUUUGUUGGUUUCUAGAGCUGAGGUAAUGAUUGAUAGGGAUAGUUGGGGGCAUUCGUAUUUAACUGUCAGAUGUGAAAUUCUUGGAUUUGUUAAAGACGGACUACUGCGAAAGCAUUUGCCAAGGAUGUUUUCA
rnacentral:rRNA from 1 species